rnacentral:lncRNA from 1 species
ACCAAAAACCCCCAAAUAAAUGCGUAUAAAUACGCCCAAUCAAAUCCCCCCACACUUAAACAAAGCUCGCCCUCGAGCACCAAAAAGAACAAAACGACAGGGAAUGAACAAAAGAAGACUCAAAACAGCAAAAACAAAGCUUUGGCAACAAUAUGAUAGAUAAUACUCAAAGUCUUGAUCAAGAUACAAUCAUUCACAAACCACUAACUAUGCUCUUGCUCAGAAAAUUAUGCCAUGUUCUUCAUUCAAGUCAAAAUUGUGCAAAUUCAAUCCUG